UUUUAUUCAAUUAGAGCAAAA
rnacentral:piRNA from 1 species